UGUGGGUCCAAGAAGCAGCAAGUCUUCAGGUAGGGGGCCCAGUGGCUAGAAUGGGAGUUAACCAAUCAGAGCUCCAGGGCCAGCCAGGCUGGCCUCUUCCCAGUGCUGUCUGUUGGGAGGAUGGCUAGCAGCCAUGACUAAUCAAUCAGAUCCCUGCUGCUGAGGCUUGUAGGCUGCAGGCAAAGAAGGUCUGGCUCCACUCGGCCCAGGGUGGAGUGAUGACAGGACCCAGGCUCAGGGUGGUGACCCCGUGUGUUACAGAAUAAAACUGGAGGGGUGAAUUCCUUGAGAAAUUG
rnacentral:other from 1 species